UGGGGAAUAUUGGGCAAUGGGCGAAAGCCUGACCCAGCGACGCCGCGUGAAGGAAGAAGGUCUUCGGAUUGUAAACUUCAGUAGGCAGGGACGAAGGAAGUGACGGUACCUGCAGAGUAAGCCACGGCCAACUACGUGCCAGCAGCCGCGGUAAUACGUAGGUGGCGAGCGUUAUCCGGAUUUACUGGGUGUAAAGGGUGUGUAGGCGGGGCUGCAAGUCUGGUGUGAAAUUUAACGGCUUAACCGUUAAUGUGCAUUAGAAACUGCGGCUCUUGAGGGGCGGAGGGGUAAACGGAAUUCCCGGUGUAGCGGUAAAAUGCGUAGAUAUCGGGAGGAACACCAGUGGCGAAGGCGGUUUACUGGACGGCAACUGACGCUGAGACACGAAAGCGUGGGGAGCAAACAGG
rnacentral:rRNA from 1 species